UACGUAGGGUGCGAGCGUUGUCCGGGAUUAUUGGGCGUAAAGAGCUCGUAGGCGGUUUGUUGCGUCUAUCGUGAAAACCUGCAGCUUAACUGUGGGCUUGCGGUGGAUACGGGCAGACUUGAGUUCGGUAGGGGAGACUGGAAUUCCUGGUGUAGCGGUGAAAUGCGCAGAUAUCAGGAGGAACACCGGUGGCGAAGGCGGGUCUCUGGGCCGUAACUGACGCUGAGGAGCGAAAGCAUGGGGAGCGAACAGG
rnacentral:rRNA from 1 species